rnacentral:lncRNA from 1 species
CGCUGUCAAUUUGAAGCAACAAGCCAAAUUGAAAAUUCAGGACCAUGUCCAGGUAAGAUACACAAAAUUUUUGUGGUGAUGCCAACUUUAUCAUAAUUUUCAGAAAUAGCACUCCUAUAAUUUAUAUUACUUGGGAAGAUGAGCAAGCAAACCGGCAAGUCAAUUACAUUUUUACAAAACGUGCCCUUUUAUCUUCAAUGUUUAUGGAUUACAUAUAUCAUAUAUGGUUAACAUAAUAAAAUGUUUGAUACGAACACGUGUAACUUUAAAAGUUUUGAUGUACAAUGAAGGCAUAAUACAGAUUUAGUAAGUCGAACAUGUAGGUCUGAAAUAAACUUUAAUCGACCAGCUCACGACUAAAAGUUAGAAAGGCAGAAAGGCGAGAUAAUUAAACAAAAUUAAGUGCGUGACAACCAAAAAUAUAAGGAAUAAAAUCCUCAUAAUCGUCUACGGUCAGAUUUGCUGGAUGGAGGUGCAACAGUCUACGAUUUUUACAUGUGAAUAUGAAUGUGAUUGCAUCGAAGCGUUAACUAAAAACUCACCAAAAAUACCAAGCUUAUAAUUGUUUAUAAGACACCCGCGUUUUGUCUUCAUAAGACUCAUCAAUGACACUCUUAAAAUGUUAUUAUAUGCACUUCUUAUGAUUUAAACGUUCUCCCCGCUAAAACCUUCAACCUGUUUGUUUACUCCUAUACUUAUUAGGAAUAUAAAAUAAUCUUUUUCUUAUUCGCAUAUUUAUUGUUUAGUUCCAACCAUUCCGAUUGUAAGCACGUCUAUGACAUAUGUGACCACACAGUCAGGAGCCAAUCUUAAUCUUGAUUGUUCGUUUGACUCAAUGGUCGAUGUUAGUGGAGUGAAAUGGGCAUUUACUGACAGAAAUAAUGUAUACAGAGAGGUUAAUGAAACAACAAACACAUCUAAAUACGGUGGAUCGACUAUUAGCACACCAUCUCUUACAGUAAAAAGCUUUUCACAGUCUGAUGAAGGCUUAUACAGCUGUAUCGUGGAGAAUUUCAUGGGACCUGGAACAAGCUAUGCAAUAAAUGCCAGUGUAGCACCUU